AUGGCGUUCGCCGAUGAGUACAAGGGCGACAAGGCCAUGGAGGCCCAUGGCGACACCAAGUUGUAUGUCAUCCACACCAACGACAGGAAGCAGAUGGCGAUCUCCCUCGCGCAGUACGAGCGCCACCUCAGCCUCCAGCGCCACGAGAUCGUCGGCAUUGAUCUCGAGUACAACAACGAGCCUGAAGCGACGCAGAAACCCGCACUCUGCCAGCUCUCCAUCGACAAGAAUCACCCGGUGCUGCUCUUCCAACUGAGCGCCGCUGAAAGGUGCACCGUCUUUGACAACUUCCUCACUGACCCCAUGUACACCUUUGCAGGCUUCUCCAUUGAUGGCGACAAAACCAGGCUAGAGCGUGUCAAUCUGGAGAAGAAGAUCACCGACGACAAACACAAUCACUGGGCCACCCUGCCACUGUCCAUGAGGCACAUCGAGUAUGCGGCAAAGGACGCCUACACAACGUGUGAGAUAUGGAACCGCAUCACCGUUGCCCAGGACGGGCUUCGCCGUGCAAAGUUGGAGAAGGAGGAGCCCCACAAGAAGCGCGCCAGGAGCAGCUGGGGAUGGGAAGAGCCUAACUGAUUUUUAGCAGGUUGUUCUAGUGUUUCGAUUUGCAUUCGUCAAGGUGGUUGUGUUGUCAUGGCUUCAAAACCUUCUACAGUUGGUGAUGAGUUGAAUGGUUCUGAAAAAAAUGCCUGUGAUCAAGAUGGAGCUUCAGAGGUUAAUACUGAUGCUCCAAUAUCUGAUGCGGCUAAAUCACCCAUUAUCCCUUUGACUGUGAUUGCCGAGGUUGCUUCGAGCCUUGAGAAUUUUUCAAGCCUUGAGGAUCUUGCUUCUGCAGCUCUUGCUUCACCUAAUGUGUCCACAGAGGAGGAAGCUGUGAACACAAUCAACGAUGUUUUAUCUGAGUUGGGUUUAUCAGAAACCCCUGCUGCUACUGAGGAGGGGGCUUCGUCAGUCAAAGGUUGUGAUUCCGUUCAGGAUCCUUUGUGCUCUCUUCAGAUGUCAGAGACGCAGUCGCAGUCUGUUGAUGGCACUAAACCUGUCACGCAAGCCGAGGAUGUGCCUCUUCAGCUUCUCCUGGAGGACGAACAUAAGAGGAAGAAGCAAGAAGAUUUUGACAAGAAGAGGGCGGCCCGCCUUGAGAAAGGUUCUGAUGUUCCUGGAUCAGUUCAUGCGGCUGAGCUCACUGUUGAGGAAGACGUGCCGUGUGGUAGUGAUGGCACGGUUGUCCAUGUUAAGAAGAAAAUCAAGAAGACUGCUGCGAGGAAGCUAGUAGUUGGUGAAGUUACUCCUCAGAAGAGCCCACGUGUUUCAAGGCCUGCAGAAGUUGUUGAAGAUGAAGGGUUAGGCCUUGGUGGUACGCCACGCCGUAGUCCUCGUGUGCUUGCCACUGCCGCGCCUACACCUUCUCUGCUUGGUGCUGGUGCAUCUGGUAAGGGGAAGAAAUGCGGCGUGAAGCGCAAGGUUCCACCUGCAAAUGUCAACAAGGGUGUGAAGAAGCGUUCUCGUGUUAAUCCAGAGGACAAGGAUGAUGCCGAUUUUAAUGCUGAUGAUGAGGACGACGUCGACGAUGAUGCUGCCGCUAAUCAGUAUCAGCUUGUGGAGCGGCCUGAGAGGAGGAAGAGAGGAUGCAAAGAGCCUGAAGAAGGUGGCCAAGGAGAAGGUGAGGCGAAACAUUUUAACAAGACGGUUCGCUGCUCACUAGGAGAGGUGAAGACGUGUGCUAAAAUGCUACAACUUAGGCACAAGACGAGGGUUAUCAAGGCUGGUUUCGGUUGUGUGUUUGACUUGAAGGUUGAUUCCAACAUUUCUCGUCCUUUGAUGGGCAACAUCUACACGAGGAUUAACCCUGCAACCAUGAUUCUGGACAUGGGUAAGGCGAACAAGGUUCUGCGUAUUACAAGUGAUGCUAUUCACCAUCUGCUUGGAUUCCCUCAAGGUAAUCGUACCCCUCCUAGGCCUUCGAGUGAUCGGUUUGAUGAUGCUGUUAUGAGGUUGAAGGGCAAGCUUGGGUACGCUAGGAGUGACGACAUCAAGACAAAGGAUCUGCGGAAUAUCCUCGCGGAACUUGUGAAGGAUGAGACGAAGGAUGAUCUUGCUUUGCAAGUGUUUUACCUGAUUGUUUUCAUGAAGGUGGUUAUCCCUGGAAUGUCUACACGAGUGUCUAGGGAGGCAGCAAUGGUUGGGAAUCUUGUGUUUGAGGAUAUGGCAGAUAUGGACUACUACCAGUUGGUUGUUAAUGACCUUCGAAGUGCUGUUGUUAGGUAUCAGCAAGGUACUAGCAAAGGAAAAGCUGUCACAGGCUAUGCCAUCGCGCCGCUUCUUAUGUACCUGGACUGCCUUAUCAUUGGCAAGACGCCUAAUGUUGACUUGAGGAUGCCUCGCAUCAAUUACAUGGAUGAGGCCAAGCUUCUUGAGCUCGCUGCAUCUGACUUGGUCAGGAAAGGUGAUGACGACCCAGCUAACUGGGUGUUUGGGAGACUACCUGUAGUGGAAGUUCUGCGAGAUUUGAAUUGUCGCGGGAUGUUAACAUUGGUGCCCCCUGUAGAUCCAGGAGGUUCUUCUGCCCGUGUGAGUGCUGCAGGUGGCGUUUCUUCUGAGAGUUUGUUCGAUGCUGCGAAUAUUUCCCUUUCUAGGAUUGAUGGACUUCUGGAAACUGUUUGUGGAGAGAUGGCUGAUGUUUCGACAACGGUUGAGCGUCUUAGUCGCGUGGAUGGGAUUCUUCCUCCCAGCUACGGUUUUGAUGCUGAGUCUUCGAAGGAGCUUUUGUCGAUUGAAGCUAAAUAUCUUGCUGAGCUUCGUGAGAGCACUUCCCACCUCCGGGCUAGCUUUGUGCUGUUCAAGGAAAUGCAGGACGCCCGUUGCAAGCCUUUUGAAGAUGAGGCGAGUGUUGUUGUGAGAGAGAUUCAGAGGCAGGAUCCCAUUCGUUUGGGUCAUGAAGGAGGCCAUGUGGAGCGUACUGAAGAGGUUGUUGAUGAUGGUGCUGGGGUUAGGGAGGAUGUUUUACCUGUGCAUGAAGAUGAUCCUGUGCAUGAAGCUGCCCCUGUGCAUGAUCCUUGCCCCUCUAGUGAUGUAUUAGUUGAUGAGGUUCAUGGCAGUGAAAAUAAGAGCAAGACAACUAGAGACAUCAUUUUGGAGAAAGAUCAUGUUGAGUCUGCUGUACAAACUGGUGGUAGUGCUGCUGCAAGCCCGGAGAAGUCUCCUGCAGCAGAGCCAUCAGUUGAUGUUGAUGCUGUACAGGCACAACGAAAUGUUUUCUUGUUUCAGAUUCUCCGAUUGCUCCAGCUGCUGCUGGUGUCCUUCCUGACGACACUGCAACAUAGCGACCUUGCUGUCGUCCGAAAGAAGGUUGAUGACUUUUAUUACAGUGUAACUAGGCUUAGGAAUGAUCAUUCCAAGAGAUCAAUGAUUAUGUUCCAAAACAAGGAGUGUGAAGCUUCUCUUGAAGAUGUCGCAAUAUCUUUUGGUCCUCACGGAAUGCUUCGGUCUAAUGUGGUUGAGGUUGCACUCUACUGUCUAUGUGUGAAGUACCAGGGAUCAGACAAACUCAUCCUGCCGUAUUGGGUUUGUGACAAGAUUUUCAGAGGUCAAUUUGAUUCCCGUGUGAGGAAGUACUUCAUGGCGAGUGGUCCAAAUAGCAUGGAUGCACAUGACUCGGUUGUUUUCCCUACUUUUGACCCGCCUGAGGUUCCUGCUUCCAUGGGUGGUGUCGGUCAUUGGGCGUCAGUAUUCCUUGACCUGAAGAAUUCAAGGUUCCAGCUUCUCUAUUCCUACUAUGGACCAAAAGAUGAAUGUGCGGAAUACCAGCCUAGGGAGGAACCGAUGAGUACAGCUCCGAUAGAAGAUGAUAGACCUCGAUCUCUCAUUCCUUCCAAGUUGGGGGAGCAGGCUGGUGGUAUUCGUGGUACUCCAAAUACCCCUUGCUACAGGAAGGCUGAUGUAGUCGAAGCAGCCGAAGCAGAAUUGAUUUCAUUCGAUGAUGAUCUUGAGAAGAUUGCUUACCCGAAGAAUGUUAAAUGUGCUGCUGGUACUGUUGCUGGUAGAGGUGGGAAGAAUGCUGUGAUGACCAGGAGGAAACCGGCAGUUGAGUCUGGGAACAUAACUACCUCCAAGCGAGCAUCAAGAUUACCUUUCGAGUGGCGUUCUCCUGUCGCUCCCCUGAAAAAAUACAGUUACCCUCAUCUAUCUGAGGCCCGGAAGUUGAAACAAUAUGUGCUGAGUAAAGACGGUCUGGAGAAGUAUUCUGAGACAAGCUACUGCAUGUUUACCAUCCCUGGGAAUGUGAUUGACCUCACAGGACAUGCCCUUUAUAGGCUUUUCCGUGAAGGGCAGCAGAUGGAAGGAGACAUAAUUGAUUAUCUCAUAAAUUUGUGGAAGGAUAAGCCGGAGACAUCUGAGAUAUUCACUAAUGCUAACAGGGUUGUACUUAGUCCCUACUUCAUACAGUACUACCUGGAGUAUGAUUUCUACGCCACAACAGUUCCAAAGUUCGAUGCAAAAAAUUCGGCUAAACUCCUCCCAAUGUUUGUUCGCAAGGAAGAAGACCUUCUUAACACAAAGCUGGUUUUCUUGAUUCUAUUCAAGCCAAUUGGCACAAUGGCCCACUACAGUGUGUACGUGGUGAAUAGAGAUCGUGGGAGCAUUGACAUCCUUGAUUCACUUUCUUACGAUAAUAUGGAAACGUCGCGAUCGAGUUUCCACGGGGUCUGCCAAAAUAUCUUCAACUCUUCGUAUGACAGUGAUGAGAUUGUUGAAGAUUUUGGUGGUGUGGAAGCUGCUGCAGAUGACUGGAAGGCUGAGUUCAUGCACACUCUGGUUUUUAGCGAGAAGGAUGAAGUCAUGCGUUCAGAGCUCCCUAAAGAGAUCCAGUACUUUGGCCCGUGA
rnacentral:rRNA from 1 species